CAGCCGCCGCGGUAACCCCAGCGCCACAAGUGGGAUCCACGCUUAUUGGGUCUAAAGCAUCCGUAGCCGGUUCUGCAAAUGCCCUGUGAAAUCGUUGCGCUUAACGUAACGGCGUGCAGGGUAGACUACAGAACUAGAGACCAGAGGAAGGAGACGGUAUUCCUGAGGGAGCGGUAAAAUGUGAUAAUCUCAGGAGGACCACCGAUGGCGAAGGCAGUCUACUAAUAUGGAUCUGACGGUGAGGGAUGAAAGCUAGGGGAGCGAUCCGGAUUAGAUACCCGAGUAGUCCUAGCCGUAAACGCUGCAUGCCAGAUGUUACACAAUCUUCGAGAUUGUGUAGUGUCGAAACGAAGGUGUUAAGCAUGCCACCUGGGAAGUACGGUCGCAAGGCUGAAACUUAAAGGAAUUGGCGGGGGAGCACC
rnacentral:rRNA from 1 species